rnacentral:rRNA from 1 species
UACGAAGGGGGCUAGCGUUGCUCGGAAUCAUUGGGCGUAAAGGGCGCGUAGGCGGCCAGAUUUGUCAGGCGUGAAAAUCCUGGGCUCAACCCAGGGACUGCGUUUGAAACGGUCUGGCUAGAGGACGGAAGAGGCUCGUGGAACUCCCAGUGUAGAGGUGAAAUUCGUAGAUAUUGGGAAGAACACCGGUGGCGAAGGCGGCGAGCUGGUCCGUUACUGACGCUGAGGCGCGACAGCGUGGGGAGCAAACAGG